AUACCCCUGAAAUCCAGCUCCAAGAAAGCAAAGAUCUCAUCUGGAGGCCCCAGCAGAAUAGACCGUCGCUGGGCAUGGGCCUGUGGAACAGAGUAAGACAGCAUUUUUCCAGUGGGGAGUUGCGGACUGGCAGCUCCACCCAUGCUCUGUAGAAGCAAGCCUGGGAGAGGCUGCCAACUUUCAUCACUGUCUUAGAGCCCUGGAUGCCCCAAGGAUGCCAAAAGCUUGUGCUAAAGGACCACUUGACUCAUCCAGCCCAGCAUUGGUUUGAAGUAUUUGGCCAAGAGGGCUGCAGCACAAGAGAGCAUCUCAUGGAGUUGGGAACCCAGGGGGUUCACGAUGAGGGGCCAUCCCACAGAAACAUGGGCCAUCCACCAAGUCUUCCUGCUCCCGGGAGGCCAGGAGCUUGUGGCUUCUCAGGCGGUAGGAUCAAACAGAUGCAGUAAUCACGAGCGUGCACGCCUCCUCAGGAAGCCCCCACAUUCCAGGAGCAGCUCCAAACGCACUGAGUCAUCGCCUCCUGCCUCGGCAUCUCGCACGUACCUCUCGCAAACCACACGUCCCACACCCACAGCACCUCAUGCUGGCAUAUAUAGACCCUGACCUGCUAACAGUCAUUCUCACUUAUCCCCCUCCCACACGGUCCAAACAACUCCAGCUGCCGAGAAUCCCAGUGCUGCCUGCAGAGGCUACCCGGUGUCCUGUCCAAUUCAGAGUCUUUGUGGGGAGAAGAUGAGACUUCUAUGGGUCACCCUGUAGGAAUACAAGGAUGCCAGAAAACCCAUUCAUUGUAUUUCAAAAGUAUGGCUUUCCCUUAGCUAACACAUGGGAGCCCCCAAAAGCUCUGUUAGGCAACCCCUCCAACACAGAGAAAUCCUGAACAAAGCUACGAUGGCGAUGUGAAUCCAUAGUUCUUUGGGGGCAAAAGGAGGCUAAACUCAUGAAUAUCGUCCUGUAGCAUAGCUUGCUGGGAGAAUAGGACGUGGAUACCUUGUGAAUGCCUGGUCUCUACCACAAAAUUGGAGGACAGACUAGUCCACCACCUUAGACGCCCAGACAACUGGAACUGAACCCAGAGAGGAGCUGUCCAGACCCCUGCUAGAAGGCGUUCCCAGGUCCUCCUAGAAAUCUGGUCCUCUUAUGAGAGUCUCUCUGCAGGACUGUCAAGGAGAGAGGCAGGCCCAUAGCUAGGGAAGCUUGCCUUCUCCUCCCAUCCUCCCACCCCUCAGCCCCAAGCCCAGAGGAGUGUAUGGUCAUCUCUACUGGAGGAGCCACUGGAAGAUCGUGUCCUUUUCUUUUGCCCUCUCCAAGGCGUAAUUAAACCAGUUUCUUUUGAAUUUCAAAAAAAAAAAAAAAAAA
rnacentral:lncRNA from 1 species